GAGAGGAUGUAUAGCAAUAGCUACUUGCAUCAUUGUACAGAUGAUGCAAGAUCGACUAUGUCGAAUAAAAUUCUAGGUAGAAUUAUGAUAAUGACAUUGUCUGCCUAUGUGUCUUGACCAAAUUACGUGCCAGCAGUCGCGGUAAUACGUAGAAGACUAGUGUUAUUCAUGUUUAAUCGGUUUAAAGGGUACCUAGACGGUAGAUCAAGCUUUUACAUAUAAAUUAUGUUAAUUAAAGGACUAAUUUGCUAGAGUUACUUACGAGGGGGUAUUAAAGUACUGCUGGUGUAGAGAUGAAAUUCUGUCAUACCUCUUUUCGAAAGAAAAAUCAUGGCACAGGUAUAGGCGAAGGCAUCCCCUUAUGUGAUAACUGACGUUGAGGGACGAAGGCUUUGUGUAACAAACAGGAUUAGAUACCCUAGUAGUUGAAGCAGAAAAUGAUGAAUGUCAUAGAUUAGAUAUAUAAGUUUAUUCUAUAAAUGAAAGUGUAAGCAUUCCACCUCAGGAGUAAUUUGGCAACAUUGGAAUUGAAAUCAUUAGACCGUUUCUGAAACCAGUAGUGAAGUAUGUUGUUUAAUUUGAUGAUCCGCAAAAAACCUUACCACAAUUUGAAUAUUUAUAUUUUUUUUUUAUUGUUUUCUUCUUAAUUUUCUUCUAAUAACAUAUUCAACAUGUAAAAAGAAGAAAGUUAAUAAAGAGGCAAUAAUAUAUAUUUACAAGCGUUGCACGGCUGUCUUCAGUUAAUGUCGCGAGACUUUGGUUAGUUCCAUUAAAUUAACGUAAACCCUUACUUUAUUUUUAUAUAGAGUAGUUCCCCGCUAUAUGGAUAUGAUANCAGGGACUAAGACAAGUCAUCAUGGCCUAAAUAUUGUG
rnacentral:rRNA from 1 species